rnacentral:rRNA from 1 species
AUUGAACGCUGGCGGAAUGCUUUACACAUGCAAGUCGAGCGGCAGCGCGGGGGCAACCUUGCGGCGAGCGGCGAACGGGUGAGUAACAUAUCGGAACGUGCCCAGGAGUGGGGGAUAACACAUCGAAAGAUGUGCUAAUACCGCAUAAGACCUGCGGGUGAACGGGGGGGAUCGCAAGACCUCUCGCUGAUGGAGCGGCCGAUAUCGGAUUAGCUAGUUGGUGGGGUAAAGGCCUACCAAGGCGACGAUUCGUAGCUGGUCUGCGAGGACGACCAGCCACACUGGGGCUGAGACACGGCCCAGACUCCUACGGGAGGCAGCAGUGGGGAAUUUUGGACAAUGGGGGAAACCCUGAUCCAGCCAUUCCGCGUGAGUGAAGAAGGCCUUCGGGUUGUAAAGCUCUUUCGGCAGGAACGAAAAGGUGGAUCCUAAUAUGAUCUGCUCAUGACGGUACCUGAAGAAGAAGCACCGGCUAACUACGUGCCAGCCGCCGCCGUAA